CACGUAGGGAGCAAGCGUUGUCCGGAUUCGAUGGGCGUAAAGAGCUCGUAGGCGGUUCGAUAAGUCGGGUGUGAAACCUCCAGGCUCAACCUGGAGACGCCACCCGAUACUGUCGUGACUAGAGUCCAGUAGGGGAGCGUGGAAUUCCUGGUGUAGCGGUGAAAUGCGCAGAUAUCAGGAGGAACACCAGCGGCGAAGGCGGCGCUCUGGGCUGGAACUGACGCUGAGGAGCGAAAGUGUGGGGAGCGAACAGG
rnacentral:rRNA from 1 species